rnacentral:piRNA from 1 species
GAUAUACAUGGAAGCAGAAUUUU